rnacentral:lncRNA from 7 species
AUGACAUCUGCUUUCUGCUAGCCGGCGCUCUCUCUCUCUCUCUCAACUGCCGCCCCUCAACCCUCGACACUUGCCCACAACUGCCGCCAUUGCCCGCCCGCCAUGGCGCUCGCCUCGCAAUAGCCUUCGCCGACCCAGCACCACCACCAACAACCCCGCCUGUUCCACUCGCGAAGGCCCCCUCGGUCUCCCUUAAACCACCGUCUCCCACCGACUGCUACGGUUCCCUUGGGGACGCUGAUGCGUGUGGUGGAGCGCACCGGGACCUCUCCCUCACUGAUGCGUCGCCUACAUCCCCGCUUAGGAUCACCUCCCCUCCCCUGCAUCCCUCAUCCCCUCUCCCUCACAGAUGCGCCUAAGCGUAGUCGCCGGUGAAGAUGACAUGACACCUAUUGUCGUGGUUCCCCCCGGGGACGCUGAUGCGUGUGGUGGAGCGUGGUGGGACCUCUCCCUCACCGAUGUGUCGCCGGCAUCUCCGCACAGGAGUCCACACCGCCGUCGCUCCAUGGCUCAACAGCUAUUGAGGAGAUGAGGCACUGAUAAC